AGGUAGAUACAGGAUGGACAGGACUUGCUUUGUGGCAGCAGCAAUACUGCCACGUGUGUCCUACUAACAGGCACUGCACAUGAACAACGUCCCUGCCCCUGUGCCUCUGUGUGGGCGCAGGUGGAACAAACACCCUCAUCUGGAGCUGGUGGGCCUCAUUCACCCCUCUUUUGUUUCACUGUGUUACCCCAUCAGAAUUAAUUUUGUUUCUCUGGAAGUCAGCUGAGAGCUGGCCCCAAAGGUAUCUCUGAAAACAGCCAAGCAGCUGGGAGCAAUGAGCAAUUGCGCUGUGGGUCAGCAUCCCACCUGGAGCUGGGAGCUCACCGGUGGGUCCUGCUGUGAGAUAAGCUAGGAGAUGCUCGGUAGGUCCCCCUUCUUCCUUGACCACGUUAUUCGAAGUACCACUUUGAAGUAAAUGUUGGAUUGCAGUCACUCCGAGUGACCUACUGCAGGCAGGCAUUAGUGCCUCACAGGUACUGACUUGGGCAGGGUGAUUUAAAAACCCAUUCUCCUGCCCUUAGCCUUGAACAGCCCAAAAAGCCAACAGAAGUAGCUUUAGAGAAAGGUGUGCGUCUGCUCUGGUAUGUUGAUGGAGCCACGCUGACACCGCUGAGAAAUCUGCCUCAGGUGAGAGACCUUGUUUGUCUUCUUGCCCAUUUGAGGCUGACAUCUUCCAGAUUUCCCCAUGACACCGGCCCAGAGGCUCGCGUGCCUCGUGCGUGGCGGCGGGAGCAGGGAAAGAACAUAUUUGCCAGUGACUGGACAAGAAUAAGGAUCUCACUGAUCAAUUUUGUAGUGCUAAGGCUAUGGAAUACAAGAAUUAAAGCAGCUACUGAUAUGGUUAUAAUAGCUUUAACAGUAAACAGAUGUGACAUGCAUUUCUCACUGAGCUGGGUUUUUUGUUUCUUACAUCUAAAGAAAUGCUAAUGAGAACAUUUUGGGGUAACUUCUCUGGCUUUUUACUGUUUUAAUUGUAUGAGUUGGAGGGCUUGGUUUGGAUUUGGACCUGUAAACCAUUUUUUUCAUACAACUCCAUUAGAUAAGAUGUGCUCCUGUAGGUAUUUGUUAGGAGCUGCAAGGAGAAGAAUGACAAAAAAUGCUUUGGAGAUGGCAAUACAUCAGCAUGUGACCUUGGGCACUUCAUGCUAUUUCAUCAAGGAAGGGGUUCUCUUAAACUUAAAAUUUGGGUGAUGUAAAGAACUUUAAAGAUUUUGCCAUUAAAGAUCUCACUUUAGAUACACAUCAUCUAGAUUUCUCUUGACUUUUGGAUGAGCUCGAUAUCAUAUAUUCUUCCCCAAUGCAUUCCUGGUACAGACCCAGGGUCCUCAUUUCUGCGCCAGCCUAUUUGACAAAGGCAUCAACUGCUGGCACCUUCUGGCUGAAGAAAUCUGGCCUUUCAUUGUUAGCCUAUCUUUGUAAGCAAAGGAUUUAUUAAUUGAGUAAGGAAAUACAUUUGGUGUUGGGUCAUCCAAGCCUAGUGCUCCAAUACAAGCAGUACAAUGUGGAAAGGAAGUGUCUUGAGCCCAGAAUAUUAUCACUUUAUCAGUGCAUUUUGAGUUGCUUGCGCCCUUACUCUAAAUUUGGAAUUUGCUGUGUUUAAGUGUUAAUAGCAAAUAAUCCUUUUUUAAAAACUUGGUGGUAAUUAAAUCUCUGUUAUUUAGCUAUGUUAUAAAACUUUAUCUUCAAACUAUUACUGGAAAUAAAACCAAUUCUAAUUUGGUUUGCUAAACUGAGACACAAUUGUCUUAUGUCUUGAAGGGACAUGGUUU